AAGUUUGAUCCUGGCUCAGAUUGAACGCUGGCGGUAUGCCUUACACAUGCAAGUCGAACGGUAGAGGAGCAAUCCUCGAGAGUGGCGAACGGGUGAGUAAUACAUCGGAACGUGCCCAGUCGUGGGGGAUAACGUAGCGAAAGCUACGCUAAUACCGCAUACGACCCGAGGGUGAAAGCGGGGGACUCGCAAGAGCCUCGCGCGAUUGGAGCGGCCGAUGGCAGAUUAGGUAGUUGGUGGGGUAAAGGCCCACCAAGCCUGCGAUCUGUAGCUGGUCUGAGAGGACGACCAGCCACACUGGGACUGAGACACGGCCCAGACUCCUACGGGAGGCAGCAGUGGGGAAUUUUGGACAAUGGGCGAAAGCCUGAUCCAGCCAUACCGCGUGCGGGAGGAAGGCCUUCGGGUUGUAAACCGCUUUUGUCAGGGAAGAAAUACUUCGGGCUAAUACCCUGGGGUGAUGACGGUACCUGAAGAAUAAGCACCGGCUAACUACGUGCCAGCAGCCGCGGUAAUACGUAGGGUGCAAGCGUUAAUCGGAAUUACUGGGCGUAAAGCGUGCGC
rnacentral:rRNA from 1 species